rnacentral:lncRNA from 1 species
AGUACUUGGUCUGUAAUAAUUUGUAAAGAAUACUGGGGAUUAUAGUGAAAUUGGGGAAGGUUAUGCAUAAUUAUUAAGGGCAUGGGUAGAAAACAUGUUUAUAUGAUUUUACUUACCUAUUUGCGCAAUAGAAAUCAUGUUUAGGACAUGCAUCUUACACGUAGAAAUCUUGUUCUUAGGUCUCUCAUCCUCAGUCUGUUAUUCUAUACAUUUUCAUAAUCACAAUCAGUUAAUAAUCAACGUUAUCACCAUUGCAUUUAGAUACCAUGUUUUCAAUCAUGUUCUUAGGUCAUUUAUUUUCAGCUUGUUUUGCCCAUUUUUGUAAUCACA